rnacentral:rRNA from 1 species
CCUACGGGAGGCAGCAGUAGGGAAUCUUUCACAAUGGGCGAAAGCCUGAUGGAGCAACGCCGCGUGCAGGAUGAAGGCCUUCGGGUUGUAAACUGCUUUUAUAAGCGAGAAAUAUGAUGGUAACUUAUGAAUAAGGAUCGGCUAACUACGUGCCAGCAGCCGCGGUCAUACGUAGGAUCCGAGCAUUAUCCGGAGUGACUGGGUGUAAAGAGUUGCGUAGGUGGCAUAAUAAGUAGCUAGUGAAAUCUGGUGGCUCAACCAUUCAGACUAUUAGCUAAACUGUUAAGCUCGAGACCGUGAGGGGUAACUGGAAUUUCUAGUGUAGGAGUGAAAUCCGUAGAUAUUAGAAGGAACACCAAUAGCGUAGGCAGGUUGCUGGGACGGUUUUGACACUAAGGCACGAAAGCGUAGGGAGCAAACGGGAUUAGAUACCCUUGUAGUC